GGAGACCGUAACUGGAGUUGAUAAAUCCUCAGACCUUGACCUCAACGUUUAUCUGCUUAGGCUGCUGCUUUCCAUUUCCCCCAGCUGUGCAAAGGAGAACGAGGAGCUCCGUUUCCUCCGGAGGCAGCCCCCGGUUUAAGGGCAGCAGAAGAGCAAUCCCACAGAGGACGAGUGGACUUCUUCCUGUCCUGACCAGUGAUGGAGGAGAAGCGAGAGAAUGGAGACUUCUGGUUCCUGCUAGAGAUGGACUACUGGAAGAGGCAGACUAGUGUGCUUUUCAUUACCAACAGCACAUCGGCCAGUGGAUGCAUCAAAGAGUUAAAUGCAAAGAGAAGUGAUCAGCUUUAGAAGGUGUGACUACCAAUAGAAACUACUGCCAGGCAUUGCAACCUUGAUCAUUACCUUGCAACACGAUCUAUAUGGGCAAAACCAGCAGCCCAAGAAAUGUUCUCAGUGUGUGAAUAGGAGGAACAAAGAGGUUAAUGGAGUGGUAGCAGCCAGCUCCCCCCUGCCCUGCAUGCACAGACAGCAGCAAAGCCCAGCACAUGCUUUGUGGCAGCAUCUCGUGGGCAAAGCAGUCUCAGAGUGGGGAAUUUUCACUUAAUUUAAUUUCUUGCCAAUUAACAGAAAGUUCUGAUGCCUGGUUUGAGUACUGAGUUAAAAAAAAAAAAAGGAAUACAAUCAAAAAACACUUAAGGAAAGCCAUUACCUCCCACUCCCUGGGGCUCAGCUACAGCUGAACACCUCUCCACACGCAUUCCAAGUCUCAGCUCCCUGUUUUCACCACCAGUCCCUUUGGUGGGGUGACACUGUGUGUGCUGGAAGAGAUUCUGCUGCUCUGUGCUUUGUACUGUUUUAUUUUGCACUCGGUGCAGAUCACCCACAGUCCUUCCUGGGUGUUCCUGGAUUGGUGGGGGCCACCCGCAGGCUGCAGUCCCUUGCAGGUGUCCCUGUGCCAGCACAGGUCACCCAUGCUGCAGUCCCCCUGGGGUGUCCAUAUUUAGC
ensembl:lncRNA